GUCACUGGAAAAACACAAAUAUACAGAUGUAGAUUCAUUGGCAUGAAAUAUUUAAAAUUUUUCAACAAAAGAAUUUCAUGAUUUUUUGCCAUAAUUAGUAUUUAAUAUUAUGUUUAUAUAUUAUAAAUUACAUUUUAUGUAUUAUAUAUAAUAUAUACAUAUAUAUAAUUAAGGAGUAUAAUCAUUAAGAUGGCCUUAUUUUCAUUCCAUAUCCAAAGUUCAUGCCAUAAAACAAUUAUUACAUGUUUCGUUGAUCCUGACCAAGUUGGUUCAGAUUAAAACCUAGAGUCUUAUGAUUGUCAUGCUACCUUCAUAAAGAUAAGGGUGUGUUCUUGUGUCUGACUUUUAAAGGAGGGUAAGCAAAUUUUAAAAAAUGAAAACACACAAAAUUCUUAGUUGUUCAUCAGAAAAUAUUUUCCACCCGCCAAAUAGCUGUCAAGUAACUGACAUGAAUGGAUUAAUAAAUUGAAGUACCAUCUUAGAUUCAUAAUAAAUGUCUAUAAAUGUGGUUUUAACAUUUACAAUAGCUCUUGUGUGUGUCAAACGUUUUAACUGUUGCAGUUUUACAGCAGAAGAACAUUUGCCUUUGAGGUCAAAUUAGAGUUCAAGUUCUGCUCUGUCACUUGCAACUCGUGUGAUCUUGGACAAGUUGUCUAAACCUCAGUGUCUUGGUCCCUAACUCUGUAAAAUAAAAACUACAAUCCCUUCCUCUGACUGGGCUUUUGUAAAGACAUAAUGAGAUCAUGACACGCUAGAAAUGCUAGUUGUGUUAAUUAUUCCCCCCACCCACUGAUGUGGGGGUUCAUGUCCUACAGGCAAUCAUGUUCUGUUUCAUGCUUAGAGAAUGUAUCCCCAGGGAAAGAGAAGGUAUUGUAAGGACUGUGAAAAUUCAAAGCUAUGAAUCUUAUAAAUCUUUUAGUCUAGAGUUUAUUCCUAGGGAAAGUGAAAAUUUAUAAAAAUGAUGAAAAAUUGAGCAUGCAUGUUUUAUAACUUGUCAAUCUGAAAUUGGGAUAGGGAUGAAUAGGGAUGAAAGCCAUGUACAAUAUAAAGAAUUUUGGGGACUAAAUGUGAAUACCUAUUUAUUCUGGAGCUGAUUCUUCUUUCCCAAAGAGCUUUGCAAGUUUCCCUGUUUUCAUAUAUGUCUAUCUCUAUAUCCAUCUAUAAUAUUGUGAACAUUAAGUGAGUUAAGAACACAGAUGUCCUAGAAAUCUCUCUAGCAUAUUUUAAGUGCUAAAUAAAUAUUGGCCCCUUUCUUGUAAAUACUCUCUGGGCGCUCUCUGGAGUAGAUGGAAAUAGUUUUUAGAAAAUAGUCAUACCAGGGAACAAACUAUUUUUUCACUGUGUCAUUCACCUGGGCACGAGGGCAUUAGUGGAAUGAAUAAGUGUUUGAGUCUAGUCCAAACUUGGGCCAGAAUGAGUUGAAAACAUUCCUAUGUGGAUGAACUCCCUCAUAUCUUCACAGGUCAUGCAGCCACUGGUACCUUGCCCCAUCUCAUCUCAGGAUGAACUUCCAGGACUAAGGAUUUUUACAACGACUUCUCUAAUAGGAAUACCUUAAUCUAGCCAGCAUGAAUGUGUUGUCAGCGGUUCAGAUGGGAGCAAGUAUGAAUCACAUUUCCUAGGUAAUGCACAUGUAUGCGGAGAAACAAAAAAUCAGUGACUUCCACCAAGAAAAGCAGCGCGGCUGAUGCAUAUUACGGAAGCUUCUGACUAAAGUCUUUAAGAUGAACUGAGCAUGUGAACUUCUUCAUAAGAUUGUAACAGAUAAAAUGAACCCAGUUCUUGUUUCUGUAAGUAGAAUAUAAAUUUUCAUUUUAUUUCCCCCACGUGAGGUUUGAUAUUUUGAGCUCACAGGCAUACAUUCCGGGAAAAGGAUCCUUAGAAUAAAAUACCUUUACUGAGGAGAUGUUCGUGACGUUUCUCAUCAAAUAAGGAGAGUAACACCUCUUUUUGUUUCCGAAAUUCAGCCAUCUGUUCCUCCUUUUCCUCCGAUUCUUCCUUAGCCUUUAGGAGAAAUAUUGCAUUAAUAUUCCCAAGAGAGAUCAUAGAUUCUUAUUUUGGAAAACAUCUUUUGUGAGAGAUAGACUCACCAGGAGCAGAAAGGGUAUACUUGGAAAACUUACCGUAACAUCUAAUAUCACAACAAAUUAUGACAUGGGUUUUCUUGACACUCACUGGUUCUAUCGUUUUAUUUAAGUUUACGUGAUUUGUUAACCUCAUGAGAGAUUUUCAUCAAUAUCAUGAGAAAUGGACUCAGAUUGGGCAAAACCGGAAUGAAAGUGAAGCAAAGGGAGGUGAAGUAACAGAAGAAGUUCGAUGUUACAGUUAUUAAGAGGUGAAGGUGGGACUUGAACCCAUACAAUGAGAUGUCAACGUCCCUGCUGUAAGCACUACCUGAUAUAGCUUCUCCAGAUACAGCCUCUCCAGACAUAGAAUUGAAAUAAUUCUUUCAAGAAAUUUAGUAAUGAAGAGAGGACGGUGGCGGAGGGGCUGUAGCUUGAGGGAAAUGAGGAAUCAACAGUAUCUUUCUCAAGUGAAAGAAAUUUGUAACUGACAGCAGUUAAGAAGGACCCAGGAUAUCUUUGGUUGACCGGUCUUUUGUGAGCCUGCUUCUGUCUAGAAUUGGUCAUGAUAUGAAAUUUUUGAUAGGAAUAAAAAAGGUCUAUUAAUCUUAUAUAUUUAUCAAACACAAAAUCUUGCCCAGAAUGAACUUAUUACUUGAAUUUCUAUUGUACAUAAAUAAAAUAAAAUCAACCAUGUAAUCUAUUUUGUGUAGAUGCAUUUGUGAAAGAAAAAGAAUAUAAGAAAAAUGAACGUUUAAAAGAAAAUUAGGGAUUUGUUAAAUAAAAUUUUCAAUACUUCAUCUGUAGUAAAUAUAUUUACUUGUGGCAUCAUAAGUACCUGAAUUCUUGUGAAUUCUUCUUCCAGGCCCUUGAGAAUGUUGUUUUCAAGCUUUCCCCAGAAGUUAAAUCCAUGUGGCUCUAAACCUGGUGUUCUUUCCAGCCACGCCUGAAGUAUUAUUUUUUUUAAGUAAAUAUAUUAUAAAAUUUCAAAUAUAUAAAAUACAUUGUACUUAACAUCUAUGAACUUGAAAUAGGAAGUAUGUCAUAAGUUUUUUUGUAUAUAAAUAUUUCUCUUUCCCUUAAAUUUAUUCAUUUAAUGAAUAGCAAUUUAUUACAUUUCCUUUCUUAAUCUUUGAAGCAAUCAUAUUAAUAAUAUUUACUCUGUAUUUAUUAAGAAAUGUGUUAUUACAGAAAUUCCAAUUUUGUUCUAUAAGUCUAUGAACAUAUCUAAAUGUUGUUUUAAUGAAGUCUUCUGGUUUAUUCUCGAAAUACCUUAUGUCUUAGGAUAUGAAGGAAUUAUGACAUGCAUAUCAUAUGAUCUCUUCUAAAUGUAGGAGCAUGGUAUCUAGGCAACUUUGAAAUCUGAAAUCAACUAAACACUCAGUUAUUUUAAGAGUCCACAAACCUUUUUUUUUUUUUUUACAAACACAAGAGUUUUUAAUGUAGAAAUGAAACAAAAUUUGUGCACCUAUGGAUUCUCAUCUGACCUAUUUUUGGUUUUGAAAUUAACUUUGUGACUCUUUCCCUCCGUAUCUUUAUGAGCUGUUAUUUGGAGUUAUAUAUACUAUAUUAACCCAAGUCCACAUUUACAAUACCCAGGGGAUCCGUGUGCAAAGUAUAAGUCACUAAAAGAAAUAUUUAAUUUGCAAAGGAAAAACCCUUGUGAAGGAAAUCAAGACCAUAUAAUCUUUAUUUAAUAAUUUACUUGUGAAAAAACAGUAAUCCCUCAAGACCUUUUAUAGACCCAUGGGGAAUUAAGAUAUGAAAGGAACAAAUUCUGAAGAUUAUACUCUUAGUAAUUUAGUUUAAUUGAGAAAAACACACAACUUGUGGAACUUUUCAAUAAUGGAAUAUUUUAGAGACUAAAGCUCACUGAAUAAUUAACUACACUCGGUGUUAAAAUCAGCUAGUUAAAUGUUGUUUAGCAGGGUUGUUUAAAGGAAUUGUUUUAUAAGAUAAGAAGGUGAUUAAAUAUUAACACAGAGUUGUUAUAUAAAUAUUUCUGAAAUUCUCAAGGGAGUUCUUAAUAGUUUAAAUAUUUCAAUUACUUGAGUUGAAGCAUUCCUUUAAAGUCUUUCUGUUCUUAUUUACCAUGAAUGUGACAAAACCUUUGAGUUUUAAAACUUCGAUGUAGCAGAAGCACAAUUAACAAGAUGUGGGGAGUGAGACUUUAGAGACAGUAUUUGAGCAUGUACCUCCAC